UGGGGAAUAUUGCACAAUGGGCGAAAGCCUGAUGCAGCAACGCCGCGUGAGUGAUGAAGGUCUUCGGAUUGUAAAGCUCUGUCUUUUGGGACGAUAAUGACGGUACCAAAGGAGGAAGCCACGGCUAACUACGUGCCAGCAGCCGCGGUAAUACGUAGGUGGCGAGCGUUGUCCGGAUUUACUGGGCGUAAAGGGUGCGUAGGCGGAUGUUUAAGUGAGAUGUGAAAUACCCGGGCUUAACUUGGGUGCUGCAUUUCAAACUGGAUAUCUAGAGUGCAGGAGAGGAGAAUGGAAUUCCUAGUGUAGCGGUGAAAUGCGUAGAGAUUAGGAAGACACCAGUGGCGAAGGCGAUUCUCUGGACUGUAACUGACGCUGAGGCACGAAAGCGUGGGUAGCAAACAGGAUUAGAUACCCUGGUAGUCCACGCCGUAAACGAUGAGUACUAGGUGUAGGAGGUAUCGACCCCUUCUGUGCCGCAGUAAACACAUUAAGUACUCCGCCUGGGAAGUACGAUCGCAAGAUUAAAACUCUAAAGUGAAUUGAC
rnacentral:rRNA from 1 species